ACGACCGCUAAUACCCCAUAUGCCUACUGGUGAAAUGAAUUUCGCCUGAGGAUGAGCUCGCGUCUGAUUAGCUAGUUGGUGAGGUAAUGGCUCACCAAGGCUUCGAUCAGUAGCUGGUCUGAGAGGAUGAUCAGCCACAUUGGGACUGAGACACGGCCCAGACUCCUACGGGAGGCAGCAGUGGGGAAUUUUCCGCAAUGGGCGAAAGCCUGACGGAGCAACGCCGCGUGAGGGACGAAGGCCUCUGGGCUGUAAACCUCUUUUCUCAAGGAAGAAGAUAUGACGGUACUUGAGGAAUAAGCCACGGCUAAUUCCGUGCCAGCAGCCGCGGUAAUACGGGAGUGGCAAGCGUUAUCCGGAAUUAUUGGGCGUAAAGCGUCCGCAGGCGGCUUUUCAAGUCUGCUGUUAAAGCGUGGAGCUUAACUCCAUCAUGGCAGUGGAAACUGAAAGGCUUGAGUAUGGUANGGGCAGAGGGAAUUCCCGGUGUA
rnacentral:rRNA from 1 species